rnacentral:rRNA from 1 species
GCUUCAUACAUGCAAGUCGAGCGGAAAGGCCCCUUCGGGGGCACUCGAGCGGCGAACGGGUGAGUAACAGGUGGAUAAUCUGCCUCCCGGUAGGGGAUAACCCCGCGAAAGCGGGGCUAAUACCGUAUACGGUCUUCGGGGCCUCGGUCCUGAAGAAGAAAGGGGCUAUUGCCCCGCCGGAAGAUGAGUCCGCCCCCCAUUAGCUUGUUGGUGAGAUAACAGCCCACCAAGGCGACGAUGGGUAGCCGAGCUGAGAGGUUGAUCGGCCACACUGGAACUGAGACACGGUCCAGACACCUACGGGUGGCAGCAGUAGGGAAUAUUGGACAAUGGGCGAAAGCCUGAUCCAGCCAUGCCGCGUGGAUGAUGAAGGCCUUCGGGUCGUAAAGUCCUUUUCUUGGGGAAGAACAAGCCCGGGAGUGGAAAGCCCGGGCCCUGACGGUACCCAAGGAAUAAGCAACGGCUAACUCCGUGCCAGCAGCCGCGGUAAUACNGAAGUUGCGAGCGUUGUUCGGAUUUACUGGGCGUAAAGGGACGCAAGGCGGCCAGGCCAGUCCAAAAUGAAAGCCGGGGGCUCAACCUCCGG